rnacentral:rRNA from 1 species
AUGAUAUACGCAACGCAUAGCCCCAAGAGGGAGCGGAAGCGUGCACUAAGGGACGUAUACACGAUGGAGCCAGUCGCCCCAAAAUUCAACCCAUGGUCCUCUUGCCCGAUCACUUUCGAUCGAAGAGACCAUCCGACCAGUAUCCGCCAUGGCGGAUUCGCCGCAUUGGUUUUAGACCCAAUCGUCGAUGGAUUUCACCUCACAAGAGUCCUGAUGGACGGCUGCAGUAGCCUAAACCUGCUUUAUCAGGAUACAGUGCGCAAGAUGGGCAUAGAUCCUUCGAGGAUUAAACCCACAAAGACAACCUUCAAAGGCGUCAUACCAGGUGUCGAGGCCAGUUGUACAGGCUCAGUCACACUGGAAGUGGUCUUCGGAUCCCCGGAUAAUUUCCGAAGCGAGGAGUUAAUCUUCGACAUAGUCCCGUUCUGCAGUGGCUAUCAUGCUCUGCUCGAAGAAACCGCGUUCGCAAAAUUCAACGUGGUGCCGCAUUAUGCAUACCUUAAGCUCAAGAUGCCAGGCCAUCGUGGAGACAUCACGGUCAAUGGAAACACGGAACGCUCCCUCCGAAUGGAGGAACAUACAGCGGCUCUCGCGACAAAAGUACAGAGCAGCCUUUUAAGGCAAUUUUCAAGUCCGGCCGUUAAACGACCGUACACGGCCAAACGCGCCCGGAGCAACAUCAAC